AUGAUAGAUUCCCUGACUUCGGGCACUGAAGGUUCUACAGAAGAGGACAUAUCCAAUGUUGAUGGCCAGGAGCCUUCAGAAAUACAGAAAUGGUCUGCAGAUUUCCCAGACAUGCUUGAUGUUUUGCUAGCUGAGAGAAGAGUGGAUGAAGCGCUAGAUGCACUAGAUGAAGCGGAGCGAGUUACUGCAGACCGGACACAAACUCUAACUACAGCUGAAAUUUCGGCAUUGAGAAGUGCCGUCUCUGAUAAUCGUCAAAAGCUGGCAGACCAGCUUGCUGAAGGUGCUUGUCAGUCUUCUACUCGUGCCAUUGAGCUUCAUGCUGCCGCUUCUGCUCUCAAAAGCUUGGUGAUGGCCCUCGAGCUCACAGCGCUCAGUGAUUCUGUGGAAGUUUUUGGUGAUGAGUCAUGUUAUGCAUCUGAGCUGGUUACAUGGGCUACCCAGCAGGUCUUGUCCUUUGCACUCCUGGUAAAGAGGCAUGUGUUGUCUUCUUGUGCAGCCGCUGGAGGCUUGAGAGCAGCUGCAGGAUGUGUUCAAAUAUCAUUUGGCCAUUGUUCCUUGCUGGAAGCUCGUGGUCUAUCUGUUUCUGCUGUCCUCCUGAAGCAGUUCAAGCCCAGUCUUGAGCAAGCAUUAGAUGCUAACUUGAGGAGAAUCGAAAAGAGUACUGCUGCACUUGGUGCAGCUGAUAACUGGACACUCACUUAUCCCCCAAAUGGUAUUCGCCCAUUAGCUAGAUCUUCUGUUGCUAAUUUGGCACUUCAACCAAAACUCUCAAGCAGUGCACAUCGUUUCAAUUCUAUGGUUCAGGUCCAUCUCGAUCCUUUCAAUUACAGCCACUUGAACUUGUUAGGUGUUUGUGUGAGUACGAACAUCGAUCUCAACGAACUAUUGAAACUAGACAUUUUAAACCCUAAGCCCAACCAAAUGUGGAUUUGGUCCAACAUGGAGCUCAUGUGGCAGUUGUUCUUCUGUGUGGCAUCCAUGUGGACUUACCCACAAAUGCUUGAGUUUCAUAAAACACUUUGGCCAGUGGCAUGUCUCUUUCCGACAAGAGACCCACCUGCGGGCUCGCAAGUUUCACCUCUCUUUGGCGUUCCGGAGUUCUCCGCCUGGGGCUGGUGGCCACCUGCUCUCUUCCCACGCCGUGGCACGAACCCUAGGGGAGCCCCUCCUCGGUACUCAGGGGUUCCGUGGGUGGCGGCACCAUCGCCGGUCUGUCCGACCGGCGCCCCCGCUGGGCCGCAGGCAAAUUUGAGGAACCAGUGA
rnacentral:rRNA from 1 species